UACGUAGGGGGCAAGCGUUGUCCGGAAUCAUUGGGCGUAAAGGGCUCGUAGGCGGUCUGUCACGUCGGGAGUGAAAACUCAGGGCUUAACCCUGAGCCUGCUUCCGAUACGGGCUGGCUAGAGGCAGGCAGGGGAGAACGGAAUUCCCGGUGUAGCGGUGAAAUGCGCAGAUAUCGGGAGGAACACCGGUGGCGAAGGCGUCAGCUGGCCUG
rnacentral:rRNA from 1 species